rnacentral:rRNA from 1 species
AACGCGAAGAACCUUACCCAGGUUUGAAAUACAGAGGACAGCUUCAGAGAUGGAGUCUCCCGCAAGGGUCUUUGUACAGGUGCUGCAUGGCUGUCGUCAGCUCGUGCCGUGAGGUGUUGGGUUAAGUCCCGCAACGAGCGCAACCCUUAUCAUUAGUUGCCAACACGCGAGGUGGGAACUCUAAUGAGACUGCCCGGGUUAACCGGGAGGAAGGUGAGGAUGACGUCAAGUCCGCAUGGCCUUUAUACCUGGGGCUACACACGUUCUACAAUGGUCGGUACAGAAGGCAGCAAGACCGCAAGGUGGAGCAAAUCCCUAAAACCGAUCUCAGUUCGGAUUGUAGUCUGCAACUCGGCUACAUGAAGUUGGAAUUGCUAGUAAUGACGUGUCAGCAAUAACGUCGUGAAUACGUUCCCGGGCCUUGUA